CGGCGACGGGUGAGUAACACGUAUGCAAUCCACCUGUAACAGGGGAGUAACCCGGAGAAAUCCGGACUAAUACCCAUAAUAUGGGCGCUCCGCAUGGAGAGUUCAUUAAAGAGAGCAAUUUUGGUUACAGACGAGCAUGCGCUCCAUUAGCCAGUUGGCGGGGUAACGGCCCACCAAGGCGACGAUGGAUAGGGGUUCUGAGAGGAAGGUCCCCCACAUUGGAACUGAGACACGGUCCAA
rnacentral:rRNA from 1 species